rnacentral:rRNA from 1 species
CCUACGGGUGGCUGCAGUGAGGAAUAUUGGUCAAUGGGAGAGAUCCUGAACCAGCCAAGCCGCGUGAGGGAAGACGGCACUAUGGGUUGUAAACCUCAUUUGUCGGAGAACAAAACACGGGACGUGUCCCGGACUGCGUGUAUCCGAAGAAAAAGCAUCGGCUAACUCCGUGCCAGCAGCCGCGGUAAUACGGAGGAUGCGAGCGUUAUCCGGGUUUAUUGGGUUUAAAGGGUGCGGAGGGGGUCCGUUAAGUUAGAGGGAAAAUUGGGGGGCGAAACCCAGGCGUGCCGUUGACACUGGUAGACUUGAGUUGGCGAGAGGUACGCGGAAUGCGCGGUGUAGCGGUGAAAUGCAUAGAGAUCGCGCAGAACUCCGAUUGCGAAGGCAGCGUACCGGCGCCAGACUGACGCUGAGGCACGAAAGCGUGGGGAUCGAACAGGAUUAGAUACCCCUGUAGUC